AUCAGGACCUGUCAUAGAAGAGGAAGGAAUUCAGCUGUGGGAUAGGGGAGAGAGCACUCUAUUUGGGGACAGAGGAUGUAGGUACAAAUCCCAGUUUUGCCACUUACUAGUUUGGUGGCCUUCAGUCCCUGAAGUAACUGCCCAACUUUUGGCUCACAUGUUUUGUCAGGGUUAGGUGGUUCUUGUGAAUGACCUACAAAUUGUGAAGUGUAACAUAAAAUGGAAGAACUGAGAAAAAAAAAUUUGUCCACAAUGGCCAUUAUUGGACAGGGUGACUUAGUAAUGGAAUGGAGCUUCCUCCGUGGUCUCCAGCCUAAGUGUUUGGAACUGUGUAAGAGUUUUAUCAUUGUAGCUUCAGAUCCCAUUGUUCCCUGACAGGCGCAGCCUGAAAAUCACUCGUCCACUUGGCUCGUAGCAGCCCUCAAGUUGCUCAGCGGGACUUUAAAUCAGAUACACAUGAGCUGUUUUUGUCGUCGGUGACCUCAAAAGCAAGAAGCAGCUUUAAUGAAUCUUACAGCAAAGGCCUAAAGCCAAAAAAUUAGAAAGUAUGAAAAAUUGUCAAAUACAUCUUUAGUACUUUUGUAUCUUAAAUUAUAUCCAGGCACAUAGAGAUGUAUGUAUAUUUUUGCUCUAGAUAUAUAUGCAUGUAUAUUUUUGCCUGGAUUUAUGUUGUUGUGUGUGUAUCCAUGCAAAUCCACAUGAAAGACCCUGUGAGUGGAAAUAUACCAUUCGUUUUUGAAGUGUUUUCCAUUUAAAACCCACAAUAAAAUGGAAAUCAGGGUAAAAUACAUAGCUAUUUUUUUGGAGACAGGAACGGAAUAAUAUUUCUAAUGACUCACCGAACGGAGUAUGCAUUCAUAACAUGGUAUUUAUUCACGUAUUGAUGCACACAAAGUCCACUCGACAAAUAUUCAUUAAAGGACCUAAGAUGUUUAUAUGUAUUGCUCUACCCUGCAUUUUUAUUAAGGUUAUUUGCAUGUAUCACUACGAAUCUCCACAAUCUGUGUCUUGGUAAAAUAUGACAAGCCCUCUUGCAUUAAACUAAGGCAAAGGCCAGGAUGCGAAGAUAAUCUAAACAUUUAAACUUAUGCAAUCUUCCAGCAUAAUCCCAAAGACAACUUCAACUGGAGCAUUCUGCCCAUUUAAUCAGGUGUUAAAUGUUACUGUCCUUGAAUAUUUUGUUGCUUUGAUGGUUUUAAGAAUUCCUCAAUUCUAACUAUAUUACCAAUAGCGUGUGACUCGUGUGUUGAAAUGCUGUUCAUUCUAGUUAUUUCACACAUAUUCUUUAGGAGACUGGAACAAUAAUUGCUGAAAACCGAUUGCAUCUUAGGGGUGUUGAAUCUUGGAAGUUGCUUCUGGAUCCAUAGCUGAGUGGAAAAGACAUCUGAGUGAGAAAUCAGAUCUUCCCACAGACUUCCAUUUAUACCUACAAUGACAGUAAUAGAUGGACCAGGCCCUGUGCUAAGGAUUUUACAUCUACUUUACUUAAUCUUUCCACCAGCUCUAUAAAGUGUGGGUAUUGUUAUUCCAGGGUUAUCGAUGAAGAAGCUGGGCUUUUGGGGAGGUUCGGUAAGGAGGCCUGGGUUCCAUCCCAAGUCACUUCUGAUUCCAAGACUGCUAUGCUGUUUUGAAACAGCUGAUUUGCUACACAAGAAGUUGAUUGAAAUCAUUUUAGACUAGUCUCCUGGAGCCACGCUUCUUGCCUUUGCGAUGGAUGGUGCUAUAUCAAAAGGAGUUAACACACAGAUUGCAGAUACAAAGGUAGAAAUAAGAAAAUGAUAGCAAUCCUUGAGUAAUAAUGGAUUUCUUGUUGUUGCUUUUGUCAUAAGUUUUUAAAUAGCUAAUGCUUACCUGUAGUAGGAAAGAACUCAGAUAGCCCGAGAGCAUAUACAGUGCAAAUCAUGGCUCCCUUCUGCUCUGGCCGCCCGUUCUCCCACGAAGAGGCAACCCCUGUGUCCAAUUUCCAGUUAUUCUUCCAGAGAGAGAGUUCACAUGAAUUGACUUUUGGGGGAAAAAAAAGUAACAUUUGAGCAUCCUGUCUACAGAACCCAACCGGAAGCAGCCAGGUCUGGCCACUGCUUGACAUCUGAGUGGGGCCAAGCGGGAGAGAGUGGAAAUGGAUGUACAAGAGAUGUUGUGCAGUGGAAAUGCAGCCAGGCCAUCGCAUUAGCCCUCUCCGCCCAGGAGUCCUUAACCCCUCCAAGCACGUUUGCCCCAUUGUAUAGAUGAAGAAACUGGUUCUUUGAGUCCCCCGACUAGCUGUACGUGAGAGCAACACUCCCACGCAGGGCUCUGCCUCUCAUCUUUCCAUCCAAGGCAGUGCUGGCGACCGCUGGGUUUGAGAGUGCUCUCGAGAAUUGGACAGUCAAAGUGCUCUAGAACUGACUAGAGUUUCUGCCGGUCAGCCGGGUAGCAAGCUGCAGAAAGCCCAAAGGCAAUAGCGGAUUUUUUUUUUUCCUAACUUUUAGAACACAUUGUUAAAUUUUACAAUAGGUUCCGAUUUACAAAAGCUUGUGAAGAUAGUACAGAGAGUUCCUAUAUAUCUCACACCCAGUUUCCCAUAUCAUCAGUGGCUGUCCUCACUCACUGUAAGGUUACUCUUUACUCCCCCUUUUCAGACUUUCCCCCUUUGGAAGGAAAACACUGUGUGUGGCCCCCACUUAAGGAGCGGGGAGUCCUGUUCCACUCCCGCAAGAGUGGGGUAUCUUCAUAAAUUACUUGGAAUACUUCUGCAUGAGAUUUGUCUCUACCCCCGUUUGUGUAUGUAUUUAAUCAGUCAUUUAUUUAUGUAAGUAUGGAUUCGUGGAUGUUUUUUUAACUUAUUUUUUUAAGUUUAUUUGUUUGUUUGGAGGGAGACUGAGACAGCGCUAGUGGGGACAGGCAGAGAAAGAGGGAGACAGAAUCCCAGGCAAGCUUUGUGCUGCCAGUGCAGAGCCUGAUGCAGGGCUUGAACUCAAGAAACCGCGAGAUCACGACCUGAGCCGAAACCAAGAGCCAGACGCUGAACCGACUGGACCGCCCAGGUGCCCCUCGUGGAUACUUAUUUUAUACUUUGGAUUAUAAUGCAACACCAUUUUAUUGUUCAGAUUGGCUCAGCUUUGGUCAUUGGGAGCUUUGUAAAUGACCCCUGUGUCCCUUGUCCCUCUGAUAUAACCUCAUCAUGGAGUUUUAUUUUUUGUUUUGAGUACUUUUUUAGUGUCUGGGACUAUAGGAUGCAUUAGAUUCACCCUUAUAUUUUCUACUCCACUCUUAGGAUCAUUUCUGCCAAGAGCCCUGGUGGUUCCUUUUAUGGGAAAAUGGUGCUAGAAUCCACGAUCUGGGUGUCAGGUGUAGUAGCUCUUUGCAAACCAAAUGCUUAGUGGAAAAGAAAGUUUUUGCCAUUGUUUCAGGUAGUGAUGAACCGGGUUAUUGACAUAAUUUUUAUGUUAAUACUGCUGGAUCGAAAUUUUACCUGAGUGAGUUGAGUAGAAUUAUCACAAGAAUUUCUAAGUAAAAUUCUAAGAAGUAAUUAUUUUAUUACUCUUUUCUAUUACUUUAAAGAAAGCCGCCUGCCCAUGAUGGCACUUUAUCCUUGACCAGAACCUGAGGCAGAGAACUUCAAAACAUGCAUCUGCGUACCAUUUCAAUAAGAGCGGAAUUGUUACCGCCCAUCAAGCAACCAGGUCAGAAGAAUCACAAGAUCUGAUAGGCGAAUGCGUAAAAUGUGUGUUGAUUGUAAAAACAAAAGAAAACAAAACUCAUUUUCUAAGAAUUAACCAUAUGUUUUUUUCCCAGGGCCUACUUGUCCUCACCUAUUGUAUUUUAAUUUUCUUGCAGCUUAACUGUAAAGAAUAGUCUUCUAAAUCAGUGUAAAUAGAAAAACUUCGAUUUAAAUGGAUUGCAUGCAAUUGCAAUUAGUAGGCAGCAGAAGCACUAAUGAGGAAGAGAGCCAGGCAGGUGAAAAACUGAAGGCAAGGUAAAUGAAGCAGUCUCUGAUGAAUAAGCAAACGUUAACUCAGGGCACCGGAAAACAGAAUGAGUUGGAGAUGCCCAGGGAGCCCUCAAAUGAAAAUAGCUAGAAAGCCUCCAGAGGGACGGAGCUGAGUAUAGAGAUGGGCAGAUCAUAAGAGUGAGAUUCUGGGGAAGGGUUGCUCUUGCAUCUGAAGCCUGGCACAGAUUGCCAGGGAGCACGUGAGACGCCCAGUGUCUCCUUCAGAGUUCAGCGGAAGCCAUCAAGCCCAUGCUGGAAGAGCCUGGAAACACUAAUCUAGGACACAAUGGAGGGAAACUUGAGUGUAUGAAGGGUGUACCGUGUGCUGGGUGAACUAUGUCAUUUAAUUUUUAUACCCGCCCUUUCCCGUCUCAUGGCAUUUAAUUCUUACACCAACCCUCUGAAGGAGAGUAUUACUACAGUGUUACAGGUGGAGGAAAUGGGGCACAGAGCUGCUUGAGAAUAGCUUGCAAAUCACACAGCCACUAAUCGGAGGUAAACUCAGACCAGGGUGUAAAAAGUGGAAGUUUUCAUUUCAAGCAGUUUGGGGCAAUCAAGAUAGACUGAAACCAAUUCGGUGUUGCGUAGGUGCAGACUCUUAGCCCCUGGGGCGAUUAACGAUACUUUUGGGGGGGGGGUUCUGGGUUGAACUGGUUAAGAGAAAGGAGUUUAAAAUGGUGGCUGUGAUGUUCAGAUGGUUUAGAGCUGCUGAAAAAUGAGGGUUCUGGUAGGCUGCUCUAUCUGGAGAGCCUUAGAAUGGGCUGAAAACUCCUGGACAUAGCUGGUUAAGCAAGUGGGCUUGGGGAUUGGCUGAAGGGUGGGUUCUUUUAAUUAUCAUUUCACAUUCCCUUUGACCUUCUCAGGAUUCCUGUAGACGGGAGAGAGUGCUUUUUGGCUCUUCCGGGGAGAAUAAAUUUUAGUGAGGGCUAUUCUUCGAUUCUGGCCAACUGGUCGCUCCAAUGUACGUUAGGCAAUUUGUGAAUGAGAGAGGAGAAUCACGAAAACCGCUGUGAACUGCGAGGAUGUAAUAUGUUAAACAUGGUGUGUUUAUGUUUACAAAAUAAAUCUCAAGAGCAAA